AAAGCAAGUUGUAAGUACUGCCAUUAUACUGCUGAAAGAAAAAUCAUGUUGAUUGUUUUUUAUUUUUGCCUUUAUCAGGGUAAAAUCAUGACAGUAUGACAUGGACAAUU
rnacentral:snoRNA from 1 species